rnacentral:snoRNA from 1 species
CGUCAUGAUGAGCGUAAUUUGCGAUUGAUACCGCUUGGAUGGCCCCCUUUCGCCGGGGCGGCUAAAUCCGGCGGACACAUGAUAGUCAUUUCUUACAUAUUCUGAAC